rnacentral:lncRNA from 1 species
CUAUUUUCUUAUUUCUGGCCUCCAGUGCGUGCUGAGUUAUAACUUUCUUUGCUCCUAUUCUUCCCAUUGCAGAGGAGCUGACCUAUGUUUUUAAACUACAAGAAAAAUCACUGGGAUCUGAAAUGAGGGAGGCUUUGAUAAGGAGCAUUUUUAAAAAUGCAGCAUGAACCUGUUCCAAGUCCCCAAAGAGCAGAAACACAUCGUGGUCCCGCGCAUCUUCCACUCUGCACCAAGGCCCGGCAUGUUUACCCUGGAAGGAGGUGGAGUCUGCCUUGUUCCUCAUGCCAAAUACCUUCCCAUGAAACCACAGCUGACAAGAGCAAGUUGCCAGGUCCUAUAUGGUAAGCACAGUCACACAUGGCCAGGGCUGCAUCUUCCUUGGGACGAGAGGAACCUGCUCUGGAAAAGCCAGCUGGAGCAGAAAGGACAGGAGGAGUCUAUGAAGCUUGGACGGGGCCUGGUCUCGGUCACCAGACAGAAUUUCCUGCAGUGAGCUGAGGCUG